rnacentral:rRNA from 1 species
GACGAACGCUGGCGGCGUGCUUAACACAUGCAAGUCGAACGCUGAAGACCUGGCUUUUGUUGGGUUGGAUGAGUGGCGAACGGGUGAGUAACACGUGAGUAACCUGCCCUCUUCUUUGGGAUAACGCCCGGAAACGGGUGCUAAUACUGGAUAUUCACUGAUCUUCGCAUGGGGGUUGGUGGAAAGGUUUGUUCUGGUGGGGGAUGGGCUCGCGGCCUAUCAGCUUGUUGGUGGGGUGAUGGCCUACCAAGGCUUUGACGGGUAGCCGGCCUGAGAGGGUGGCCGGGCACAUUGGGACUGAGAGACGGGCCAGACUGCUACGGGAGGCAGCAGUGGGGAAUAUAGCACAAUGGGCGAAAGCCUGAUGCAGCGACGCCGCGUGAGGGAUGGAGGCCUUCGGGUUGUAAACCUCUUUCGCUCAUGGUCAAGCCGCAACUGUGGGUUGUGGUGAGGGUAGUGGGUAAAGAAGCGCCGGCUAACUACGUG